rnacentral:rRNA from 1 species
GCCUACGGGUGGCUGCAGUGGGGAAUUUUGGACAAUGGGGGCAACCCUGAUCCAGCCAUGCCGCGUGCGGGAAGAAGGCCUUCGGGUUGUAAACCGCUUUCGGACAGAAAGAAAUCGCACGGGCUAAUACCCUGUGUGGAUGACGGUACUGUAAGAAGAAGCACCGGCUAACUACGUGCCAGCAGCCGCGGUAAUACGUAGGGUGCGAGCGUUAAUCGGAAUUACUGGGCGUAAAGCGUGCGCAGGCGGAUUGUUAAGCAAGAUGGGGACUCCCCGGGCUUAACCUGGGAAUGGCAUUUUGAACUGGCAGUCUAGAGUGCGUCAGAGGGGGGUGGAAUUCCACGUGUAGCAGUGAAAUGCGUAGAGAUGUGGAGGAACACCGAUGGCGAAGGCAGCCCCCUGGGAUGACACUGACGCUCAUGCACGAAAGCGUGGGGAGCAAACAGGAUUAGAUACCCUGGUAGUCU